AGUGAACGCUGGCGGUAGGCCUAACACAUGCAAGUCGAACGGCAGCACAGUAAGAGCUUGCUCUUACGGGUGGCGAGUGGCGGACGGGUGAGGAAUACAUCGGAAUCUACUUUUUCGUGGGGGAUAACGUAGGGAAACUUACGCUAAUACCGCAUACGACCUACGGGUGAAAGCAGGGGAUCUUCGGACCUUGCGCGAUUGAAUGAGCCGAUGUCGGAUUAGCUAGUUGGCGGGGUAAAGGCCCACCAAGGCGACGAUCCGUAGCUGGUCUGAGAGGAUGAUCAGCAACAAUGGAACGGAGACACGGUCCAGACUCCGACGGGAGGCAGCAGUGGGGAAUAUUGGACAAUGGGCGCAAGCCUGAUCCAGCCAUACCGCGUGGGUGAAGAAGGCCUUCGGGUUGUAAAGCCCUUUUGUUGGGAAAGAAAAGCAGCAGGUUAAUACCCCGCUGUUCUGACGGUACCCAAAGAAUAAGCACCGGCUAACUUCGUG
rnacentral:rRNA from 1 species